rnacentral:rRNA from 1 species
UUGCUCUUCAACGAGGAAUGCCUAGUAAGCGCAUGUCAUCAGCAUGCGUUGAUUACGUCCCUGCCCUUUGUACACACCGCCCGUCGCUACUACCGAUUGAAUGGCUCAGUGAGGCCUCCGGACUGGCUCGAAGAGGUUGGCAACGACCACUUCGAGCCGGAAAGCUGGUCAAACUCGGUCAUUUAGAGGAAGUAAAAGUCGUAACAAGGUUUCCGUAGGUGAACCUGCGGAAGGAUCAUUACCUAGAGUUUGUAGACUUCGGUCUGCUACCUCUUACCCAUGUCUUUUGAGUACCUUCGUUUCCUCGGCGGGUCCGCCCGCCGAUUGGACAACAUUCAAACCCUUUGCAGUUGCAAUCAGCGUCUGAAAAAACAUAAUAGUUACAACUUUCAACAACGGAUCUCUUGGUUCUGGCAUCGAUGAAGAACGCAGCGAAAUGCGAUAAGUAGUGUGAAUUGCAGAAUUCAGUGAAUCAUCGAAUCUUUGAACGCACAUUGCGCCCCUUGGUAUUCCGAGGGGCAUGCCUGUUCGAGCGUCAUUACACCACUCAAGCUAUGCUUGGUAUUGGGCGUCGUCCUUAGUUGGGCGCGCCUUAAAGACCUCGGCGAGGCCACUCCGGCUUUAGGCGUAGUAGAAUUUAUUCGAACGUCUGUCAAAGGAGAGGAACUCCGCCGACUGAAACCUUUAUUUUUCUAGGUUGACCUCGGAUCAGGUAGGGAUACCCGCUGAACUUAAGCAUAUCAAUAAGCGGAGGA